rnacentral:rRNA from 1 species
AGCGAACGCUGGCGGCAGGCCUAAUACAUGCAAGUCGAGCGGUCCCUUCGGGGGCAGCGGCGGACGGGUGAGUAACGCGUGGGAACGUGCCCUUUGGUACGGAACAACUGAGGGAAACUUCAGCUAAUACCGUAUGUGCCCUUCGGGGGAAAGAUUUAUCGCUAUACGAGCGGCCGAUGUCAGAUUAGCUAGUUGGUAGGGUAAAGGCCUACCAAGGCGACGAUCUGUAGCGGGUCUGAGAGGAUGAUCCGCCACACUGGGACUGAGACACGGCCCAGACUCCUACGGGAGGCAGCAGUGGGGAAUUUUGGACAAUGGGCGAAAGCCUGAUCCAGCCAUGCCGCGUGAGUGAAGAAGGCCUUCGGGUUGUAAAGCUCUUUCGGCUGGGAAGAAAUCGCACAGGCUAAUACUCUGUGUGGAUGACGGUACCAGCACAAGAAGCACCGGCUAACUACGUG